rnacentral:rRNA from 1 species
UAAUAGCGUAUAUUAAAGUUGUUGCAGUUAAAAAGCUCGUAGUCGGAUGUCGGGCUCGGGCAGGCUGUCGGCUUCGGUCGGACGGCAGGCUCGGGUCUUUCUGCCUGAGGAUCCCGUUGCACUUAAUUGUGGGGCGUGGGGACGCAGGCCGUUUACUUUGAAAAAAUUAGAGUGUUCAAAGCAGGCCUACGCUUGAAUACAUUAGCAUGGAAUAAUGGAAUAGGACUUUGGUGCUAUUUUGUUGGUUUAUGGGACCGAAGUAAUGAUUAACAGGGACAGUUGGGGCCGUUUAUAUCUCGUUGUCAGAGGUGAAAUUCUUGGAUUUACGAAAGAUAAACUUCUGCGAAAGCAUUCGGCAAGGAUGUUUUCAUUGA